AAUAAAGUCGAGUAAGGGCACACGGUGGAUGCCUUGGCGAAAGAAGCCGAUGAAGGACGUAGUAGCCUGCGAUAAGCGUCGGGGAGCUGGCAAACAAGCUUUGAUCCGGCGAUGUCCGAAUGGGGAAACCCGGUGGGAGUCAUGUCUCAUCACUCAUAUCUGAAUAUAUAGGAUAUGUAGAGGGCACCUGGGGAACUGAAACAUCUAAGUACCCAGAGGAAAAUACAUCAACAGAGAUUCCGUUAGUAGCGGCGAGCGAACGCGGAACAGCCAAAACCUUUUUAGUGUUAAAGCUUACAGGCGUUGUUAAAAAGGGGUUGUGAGGUUGCUACCCAUUCUUAGUAAUCAGUCCCGAGUAUAUCGAGGGGUUGAUUACUGGGAACCACGAAGAACUGUAAAUCUUCGGUAAGGUAUAAAAAGCAAAAGAUUUAAUGGAAGGAACCUGGAAAGGACCGCCAUAGAGGGUGAUAGCCCCGUACGUGAAAAAUCUUUUGGCCUUAUGUAGCAUCACUCUAGUACCACGGGACACGAGGAAUCUUGUGGGAAUCUGGGAGGACCACCUUCCAAGGCUAAAUACUUCUUUCGACCGAUAGUGAACAAGUACCGUGAGGGAAAGGUGAAAAGAACCCCGGCGAGGGGAGUGAAAUAGAAUCUGAAACCAUGUGCCUACAAAGAGUCGGAGCAUCGCAUCAGGCGGUGUGACGGCGUGCUUUUUGCAGAACGAACCAACGAGUGACUUCAUACUGCAAGGUUAAGCUGUUACGCAGCGGAGCCGAAGUGAAAGCGAGCCUUAAUAGGGCGUUUAGUAGUAUGUAGUCGACCCGAAACCGGGUGACCUAACCAUGGGCAGGCUGAAGCGGCGGUAAGACGUCGUGGAGGGCCGAACCCACGUCAGUUACAAAUGGCGGGGAUGACCUGUGGUUAGCGGAGAAAUUCCAAUCGAACCCGGAGAUAGCUGGUUCUCUCCGAAAUAGCUUUAGGGCUAGCCCUGUAAAUUAACUCUCGGGGGUAGAGCACUGAAUCGGUCUGGGGCCUUUACCGGUACCCAACCGAAAUAAACUCCGAAUACCGAGAGAUAUUAUUGCAGGAGUCAGAACGCGGGGGCUAAGCUCCGCGCUCGAAAGGGAAACAGCCCAGAUCGCCAUCUAAGGUCCCUAAAUCUAUGCUAAGUGGGAAACGAUGUGAAGUUGCACAGACAACCAGGAUGUUGGCUUAGAAGCAGCCAUCAUUUAAAAAGUGCGUAAUAGCUUACUGGUCAAUUGUGACUUUGCGCGGAAAAUAUAACGGGGCUCAAGCAUAGUACCGAAGAUGCGGAUUUCGUACAUUAGUACGGAGUGGUAGGAGAGCGUUCCUGUCUGGAGUGAAGCUGAAUCGUAAGGUUUGGUGGACCGUCAGGAAGUGAGAAUGUUGGUAUGAGUAGCCAGAAAGGACGUGAAAACCGUCCUCACCGUAAGUCCAAGGUUUCCAGGGCAACGUCGAUCGUCCCUGGGUUAGUCGGUCCUAAGCCGAGGCCAAUGGCGUAGGCGAUGGACAACAGGUUGAUAUUCCUGUACCGGUGUUAUUGUUCCUCUAGCUGACGCUGGAUGGUAGUCGGAGCGCACUAUGGCUAUGUGCGUCUAAGUGUCUAGUCCCUUCGGGGGUGAAGCACGAAUGAAAGGUCAGGUAAUGCUGGCUGAUUCCGGUGAGCCAAACAGACAAGAAAAGGCUAGAAUUAAUAGAUAACGCCGACCGUACCGCAAACCGACACAGGUAGACGGGUAGAGUAUACCAAGGUGAUCGGGAGAACCCUCUUUAAGGAACUCGGCAAAACAGCGGGCGUAACUUCGGGAUAUGCCCUGCCAAACUGUGUCUCACUACUUUGUGAGACAGAGUGUUCCAAAGAAAAAUCCCAAAACUCUAAUAUGGCAUUAGAGACGACUUUAUGAAAGUAAGAAUUUUUGAGCAAUAAAUGUGAACAAUCUGUGUUUCGCAGUAGCGAGGCACGGUUUGGCCGCAGCGAAAGACCCCAGGCGACUGUUUAUCAAAAACACAGGUCUCUGCUAACUCGAAAGAGGAUGUAUAGGGGCUGACGCCUGCCCAGUGCUGGAAGGUUAAGAGGAGGUGUUCACGCACCGAAUUGAAGCCCCAGUAAACGGCGGCCGUAACUAUAACGGUCCUAAGGUAGCGAAAUUCCUUGUCGGGUAAGUUCCGACCCGCACGAAUGGCGCAACGGUCUGGGGACUGUCUCAAAGAGGGACCCGGCGAAAUUUAGGGCAUAUCAUGUGUAGCAUAGGUGGGAGACUUUGAAGCCCGGACGCUAGUCCGGGUGGAGUCGUCAGUGAAAUACCACUCUUGAUAUGUUUUGAUCCUAACUGUUACCGUUAUCCGGUAUAAGGACAGUGUCUGGUGGGUAGUUUGACUGGGGCGGUCGCCUCCUAAAGAGUAACGGAGGCGUUCAAAGGUCGGCUAGGGCUGGAUGGAAAUCAGUCCGAUAGUGCAAACGCAUAAGCCGGCUUGACUGUGAGACUUACAAGUCGAGCAGGUGCGAAAGCAGGAGUUAGUGAUCCGACGAUUCGGCGUGGAUCGGUCGUCGCUCAACGGAUAAAAGCUACCCCGGGGAUAACAGGGUCGUGAGACAGUUCGGUCCCUAUCUGUCAUGGGCGUUGAAACUUGAAGGAAGCUGCUCCUAGUACGAGAGGACCGGAGCGGACGAACCUCUGGUGUGCCAGUUGUCCUGCCAAGGGCAUUGCUGGGUAGCUAACGUUCGGAAGGGAUAACCGCUGAAAGCAUAUAAGCGGGAAGCCCAUCCUAAGAUUAGGUUUCGUUUAGAUCCCAUAUAGAAGAUGUGGUUGAUAGGCUCUAGGUGGAAGCGUAGUAAUACGUGCAGCCGAGGAGUACUAAUAGAUCGACGACUUGAUUUU
rfam:Candidate division CPR2 bacterium GW2011_GWC1_41_48 TT65_C0001, whole genome shotgun sequence.